rnacentral:rRNA from 1 species
UACGGAGGAUCCAAGCGUUAUCCGGAAUCAUUGGGCUUAAAGGGUCCGUAGGCGGUCUAGUAAGUCAGUGGUGAAAGCCCAUCGCUCAACGGUGGAACGGCCAUUGAUACUGCUGGACUUGAAUUAUUGGGAAGCAACUAGAAUAUGUAGUGUAGCGGUGAAAUGCUUAGAGAUUACAUGGAAUACCAAUUGCGAAGGCAGGUUGCUACCAAUUGAUUGACGCUGAUGGACGAAAGCGUGGGUAGCGAACAGG